rnacentral:rRNA from 1 species
UGUUCGAUUAGCCAUGCGAGUUAAUGUUCUUCGUGAACAUAGCAGACUGCUCAGUAACACGUGGAUAACCUGCCCUUAGGACUGGCAUAACCCCGGGAAACUGGGGAUAAGUCCGGAUAGAUCAUAAAUGCUGGAAUGCUUUAUGAUUGAAAGGUUUCGACCGCCUUAGGAUGGAUCUGCGGCCUAUCAGGUUGUAGUGGGUGUAAUGUACCUACUAGCCUACGACGGGUACGGGUUGCGGAAGCAAGAGCCCGGAGAUGGAUUCUGAGACAUGAAUCCAGGCCCUACGGGGCGCAGCAGGCGCGAAAACUUUACAAUGCGGGAAACCGUGAUAAGGGAACACUGAGUGCUAGCAUUUAUGUUAGCUGUCCACAUGUGUAAAUAGCAUGUGAUAGCAAGGGCUGGGCAAGACCGGUGCCAGCCGCCGCGGUAACACCGGCAGCCCGAGUGGUGAUCACUAUUAUUGGGUCUAAAGGGUCCGUAGCCGGUUUAAUCAGUCUUCUGGGAAAUCUAAUCGCUUAACUAUUAGGCUUCCAGGGGAUACUGUUAGACUUGGGACCGGGAGAGGUAAGAGGUACUGCAGGGGUAGGAGUGAAAUCUUGUAAUCCCUGUGAGACCACCAGUGG